rnacentral:rRNA from 1 species
UACGAAGGGGGCUAGCGUUGCUCGGAAUUACUGGGCGUAAAGCGCACGUAGGCGGCUUUCUAAGUCGGGGGUGAAAUCCUGGAGCUCAACUCCAGAACUGCCUUCGAUACUGGAGAGCUUGAGUCCGGGAGAGGUGAGUGGAACUGCGAGUGUAGGGGUGAAAUUCGUAGAUAUUCGCAAGAACACCAGUGGCGAAGGCGGCUCACUGGCCCGGUACUGACGCUGAGGUGCGAAAGCGUGGGGAGCGAACAGG